CAUGCAAGUCGAGGGGCAGCAUGAACUUAGCUUGCUAAGUUUGAUGGCGACCGGCGCACGGGUGAGUAACACGUAUCCAACCUGCCGAUGACUCGGGGAUAGCCUUUCGAAAGAAAGAUUAAUACCCGAUGGCAUAGUUCUUCCGCAUGGUGGAACUAUUAAAGAAUUUCGGUCAUCGAUGGGGAUGCGUUCCAUUAGGUUGUUGGCGGGGUAACGGCCCACCAAGCCUUCGAUGGAUAGGGGUUCUGAGAGGAAGGUCCCCCACAUUGGAACUGAGACACGGUCCAAACUCCUACGGGAGGCAGCAGUGAGGAAUAUUGGUCAAUGGACGAGAGUCUGAACCAGCCAAGUAGCGUGAAGGAUGACUGCCCUAUGGGUUGUAAACUUCUUUUAUACGGGAAUAAAGUGAGGCACGUGUGCCUUUUUGUAUGUACCGUAUGAAUAAGGAUCGGCUAACUCCGUGCCAGCAGCCGCGGUAAUACGGAGGAUCCGAGCGUUAUCCGGAUUUAUUGGGUUUAAAGGGAGCGUAGGCGGACGCUUAAGUCAGUUGUGAAAGUUUGCGGCUCAACCGUAAAAUUGCAGUUGAUACUGGGUGUCUUGAGUACAGUAGAGGCAGGUGGAAUUCGUGGUGUAGCGGUGAAAUGCUUAGAUAUCACGAAGAACUCCGAUUGCGAAGGCAGCUUGCUGGACUGUAACUGACGCUGAUGCUCGAAAGUGUGGGUAUCAAACAGGAUUAGAUACCCUGGUAGUCCACACAGUAAACGAUGAAUACUCGCUGUUUGCGAUAUACAGUAAGCGGCCAAGCGAAAGCGUUAAGUAUUCCACCUGGGGAGUACGCCGGCAACGGUGAAACUCAAAGGAAUUGACGGGGG
rnacentral:rRNA from 1 species